UCAAAGGAGACUGCCAGUGAUAAACUGGAGGAAGGUGGGGAUGACGUCAAGUCAUCAUGGCCCUUACGACCAGGGCUACACACGUGCUACAAUGGCGCAUACAAAGAGAAGCGACCUCGCGAGAGCAAGCGGACCUCAUAAAGUGCGUCGUAGUCCGGAUUGGAGUCUGCAACUCGACUCCAUGAAGUCGGAAUCGCUAGUAAUCGUGGAUCAGAAUGCCACGGUGAAUACGUUCCCGGGCCUUGUACACACCGCCCGUCACACCAUGGGAGUGGGUUGCAAAAGAAGUAGGUAGCUUAACCUUCGGGAGGGCGCUUACCACUUUGUGAUUCAUGACUGGGGUGAAGUCGUAACAAGGUAACCGUAGGGGAACCUGCGGUUGGAUCACCUCCUUA
rnacentral:rRNA from 1 species